UUGUUGGACCAAUUCCAUUAUUGCUUAUCCCUUAAAUAUUACAAGUAAAAGCAUUUACAAGCACUCAAGCAAGCGAUAAGCAAUAAUGGAAUUGGUCCAACCAAAGCCAGUCUCAUGUCAUGAUCUUUUUUAUCCGAAAUUUACAGGGAUAAGGCCUAAGGGAGAUAAACGAAAAAAGACCUGAUUUAUCAUAAAUUCAAGACAAUUUAUAUUGGUCUCACUUAUUUUAGGCGCAAAUCCUUACUAUUUUACAUGUAAAAU
rnacentral:misc_RNA from 1 species